rnacentral:lncRNA from 13 species
CAGUGAGCUAGAGAGGCCCCAUCAGGGGCAGGUUACCGGGCAGAACCAGUGAGCUAGAGAGGCCCCAUCAGGGGCAGGUCACCAG